rnacentral:rRNA from 1 species
UACAGUAGUUAAUCUACCCUUAGGACUGAGAUAACCGCGGGAAACUGCGGGUAAUAUCGGAUAGAAGAUUUGGCCUGGAAGGGUAUUUCUUUUAAAGUUUCGACGCCUAAGGAUGAGACUGCGGACGAUUAGCUUGUUGGUGGGGCAACUGCCUACCAAGGCGACGAUCGUUACGGGCUCUUAGCGGAGUUGCCCGGAGAAGGAAUCUGAGACACUAUUCCUAGCUCUACGGAGUGCAGCAGUCGCGAAUCAUUUACAAUGCACGCAAGUGUGAUAAAGCGAACCAAAGUGCCUUUCAAUUUGAAAUGCUUUUCAUCACUGUAAAAAUGUGGUGGAAUAAGGACUGGGUAAGAUCGGUGCCAGCCGCCGCGGUAAUCCCGACAGUCCAAGUCGCAUCCGCUUUUAUUGGGUCUAAAACAUCCGUAGCUUGUUACUUAAGUCUCUUGUGAAAUCCUAUGUCUCAAGCAUAGGGCUUGCGGGAGAUACUGAGUAGCUGGAGAUCGGUAGACGUAAGGAGUACGCCGGAGGUAGUGGUUAAAUACGUUAAUCUUCGGUGGACUAACAAUCAGCGAAGGCACCUUACGAGGACGAAUCUGACAGUGAGGGAUGAAGGCCAGGGGCGCGAAACGGAUUAGAUACCCGUGUAGUCCUGGCAGUAAACACUGCUCACUAAACAUCGGGCCCUCUUCGGGAGGAUUCGGUGCUGAAGCGAAGGCGAAGAGUGAGC